AUACGUAGGGGGCGAGCGUUGUCCGGAAUGAUUGGGCGUAAAGGGCGCGUAGGCGGCGCGGUAAGUCUGGAGUGAAAGUCCUGCUUUCAAGGUGGGAAUUGCUUUGGAUACUGCCGCGCUUGAGUGCAGGAGAGGUUAUCGGAAUUCCCGGUGUAGCGGUGAAAUGCGUAGAGAUCGGGAGGAACACCAGUGGCGAAGGCGGGUAACUGGACUGCAACUGACGCUGAGGCGCGAAAGUGUGGGGAGCAAACAGGAUUAGAUACCCUGGUAGUCCACACUGUAAACGAUGAAUGCUAGGUGUAAGAGGUAUCGACCCCUUUUGUGCCGGAGUCAACGCAAUAAGCAUUCCGCCUGGGGAGUACGGCCGCAAGGUUGAAACUCAAAGGAAUUGACGGGG
rnacentral:rRNA from 1 species